UUUUAUCAUUCUCUGUCUUUUGUUUUAUAUAUAUAGAUGAUUGUGUUGUUAAAUUAAUUGGAGUUGGGAAAAAAAACAACUUUUUUAAUUCUAAAUCCAGUAUUAUUCCUCCUUGCAUGUAAUUUUUAAUGUUAUACAUAUUUUUAGCAAAAAAAAAAAGAAAAAAAAUGAUUAUGAAGUACUUAUAAAUUAAUAGUUACGUG
rnacentral:lncRNA from 1 species